CACCCACACACCGGAAAAUUAAUCCCGCAGUGAUCAAAUUUACAUUCUUACUCGUAAUCCUGACUAGCUGGUGGAAUUCAAGUCUGCUAAUUUUCCUUUGAAUUAAUAUUCAUCCAAUAAAGCCAAAUUCUUUCCAUAAAACGAAUCAGUAUUAAUGUCGAAUCAAAUUUCACGGGUGGGCCGCCAGGGGGCCUGCGGGUACGAUGUUGUCACUGGUGUUGUGAGCGUGUGCCGCGGGCUGCUGCACUUCUUCACGCCUGCUGGAGCACCGCGGGAGGAAUUAGAAGGUCUUGCUUGGGACGCGGGAGGCUGGCUGGCGCGGGGACGGACAGAGGGACAUAGGGACACAGGUACACGUCAGGUGCCGCCUCUCAGCCCCGCACGCCUCCCGCCACACGCCGCCGCGACAGCACAAUGACGUGACCCUCCUCGUCAAUGUGAUGCCGAAGGAAUCAGAGGAAUAUUCAUAUUACGUGAACGUGCAAGGUUCGCCUUCAACGUUGACUUUUGUGGAUGAAAAUUAAAACCUGCGGUGGUGAAUAGUCAUUUAGCCGAGGUGCGUGCCGUGCGUUUUGACACAGAGGAACGGGAAGAAUAUGAAUAAGUAUACCGUUUCCUCACGCAUUCUGGCCUCCAUUGAUUUCCCAGAACGUGAGUCAGUCGUGCAGGGAAAGCGUGCGUCAAAUUCUUCGUUGUAGGUUUCUGCUCUUUGGCGAGAUUCGAAAAUUUGGUGCCUGAGCUUAGAGGGGUUCUGGUUAGGUUAGACUGUGUUGGCAGAGGUAAUGGAGAGCUUUGUUUUAUAAAUAUUGCUGUUUUUCAGUGUAUUUUAACUCUAGUUCGUCUUGUUUUCCUGUUUAGUAAGUUAUUCAGUGUUCUGUUUUUUGUUGUUUUCCUUACUUAUUCGCUAUAUCUCAAUAUCAGUUUGUUCAAUUACAAGCAGAAAGGUUUAGUUUAUUCUUUUACCUUUUUUAGUGUAUUUUAAGUCUAGUUCGUCUUGUUUUCCUGUUUAGUAAGUUAUUCAGUGUUCUGUUUUUUGUUGUUUUCCUUAUUUAUUCGUUAUAUCUCAAUAUCAGUUUGUUCAAUUACAAGCAGAAAGGUUUAGUUUAUUCUUUUACCUGUAACAAAAUUUUCUUUCUUCCUUUCCUUCCUUCUUUCGUUAGAUAACCAAUAAAUCUUAACGUUCUGU